rnacentral:tRNA from 1 species
ACGUCAGUAGUAUAAAUUUAUUACACCGCCCCUCCAAGGCGGAUAUCUACUCUGAGCUAACGUA